AAAAAAGGAACUCAGACUUAGAGCGCAACGUCCUGUGGCAACGUCUGAGUGACUCACAUUCU
rnacentral:sRNA from 1 species